rnacentral:rRNA from 1 species
GAUGAACGCUAGCGGGAGGCCUAACACAUGCAAGCCGAGCGGUAGAGUUUCUUCGGAAACUUGAGAGCGGCGCACGGGUGCGUAACACGUGUGCAACCUACCUUUAUCUGGGGGAUAGCCUUUCGAAAGGAAGAUUAAUACCCCAUAAUAUAAUGAUUGGCAUCCAUUAUUAUUGAAAACUCCGGUGGAUAGAGAUGGGCACGCGCAAGAUUAGAUAGUUGGUGAGGUAACGGCUCACCAAGUCAAUGAUCUUUAGGGGUCCUGAGAGGGAGAUCCCCCACACGGGUACUGAGACACGGACCAGACUCCUACGGGAGGCAGCAGUGAGGAAGAGUGGACAAGGGGUGAGAGCCUGAUCCAGCCAUCCCGCGUGAAGGAUGACGGUCCGAUGGAUUGUAAACUUCUUUUGUACAGGGAUAAACCUACCCUCGGGAGGGUAGCUGAAGGUACUGUACGAAUAAGCACCGGCUAACUCCGUG